ensembl:ncRNA B0496.18 ncRNA
CAAAAGCUUCGUCUGCUUUCGUUUUUUUUUCUCGUUUUCUUCCAACUUCUUGCAAAAACCUUACUUUUGUGUUCGAUUCCCAUGAGGAGAAGCGAGAAAAGACAAAAAAAAACGGAGGGAGAGUGAAUUAUAGCAAGAAACAGA